AAAACACAUGCCCUGGCAGGGAGCAGAUAGGUGAAGAAGAGGCAACCGAUUCCCCCAAAUGCAUCAGCCGGGGGGGUGGGGUUAGAAUCAGUGGCACUUCAUAAGAAAUCUGUGUCCUCCUUGACACAGGCACAGAGCACCAGCCUGCCUCGCACGACGGAGAAACCUUACAAACUGCUUAAAUACUCGCCUCUCCGCUCAGCCUCCGCAGGCCAAUUCACAGGGGCGUGCGGGGAGCGCGCGCUAUAUCUUUAAAAGGCUGCAGCCCCCCAGCCUGGCCCUCCCCUGCCCGGCCCUCUCGGCCCGAGGAGCGAUUGAUGCGGGGAGGAGGCGCCUGGCGCUAACAAAAGUCUGCGGCGCUGGAGCGGGCGGAGCGGGGCUGCGAGCGGGCGCGGGGCCGAGCAACAAGUGGCUGCUGCGCGGGCGGGGAGGGGGAGCCCGGCAGUGCCGGCGGGACCCGAGGAGCAGCGGCUCCUCCCCAGCGAGCUGCGGAAGGCGCAUCAGUCCCUGCCGGGGGGCGGAGGUGGAGGCUGCGUCCUGGGAUUGCUGCUGCCCCGUGUGUGGAUUAUAACUGGAGCUGCUGCCCAGCCGUGGUGCCCGCAGCGGGGGCCUGAGGGGGCGAGUGCACUGGGGACUUUCUCUCCCCCCCCCUUUUGGGGUGGCUGCUUAGGGCGGGGCUGGUUCUCCAUGAAGGACCCGAGUGCCUAUAGCAUGUAAAAGCCGAACCUCCGCACCAGCGGGGUCCCCGCCCCGAUCGCCUCCUUUCUGUGCCGGGGAGCCAUGGUGUAUGCUGGCAGCGGGAGAGCAUGAAGCCUGCAGGAUGGGCGCGAACAAUGGCAAACAGUACGGCAGUGAGGGCAAAGGCAGCUCAAGCAUCUCAUCCGACGUGAGUUCAAGUACAGAUCACACACCGACCAAAGCUCAGAAGAAUGCGGCUACCAGUGAAGGUCAUGCAAGGCCUUGAGGAGAGGAGGAUGUACUGUAUGGUCCAAUGAAAGAGCAUGGCCAGUUCCAGCGGUAGUACUUUUUGUUCAUUAUUCCCUCUGUUUGUUGAGUUUGGCAGCCUCCGGUGUGUUGUCUCUUCUCUUCUCUUUUUUGGCUCCACCAGAUUUGUUGGAAGAAUCUGGCUUGCCAGCAGCUUUGAGAUUUUUGAUGUGCCAUCUGCUCUUCUGUGGAACACAAGCUAGCGUGUCUGGAAGGAUGACAUUAGAAACUGCUGAAAGGACAAAAUGUGAUACUGGCCCCAGGGAACCAAAUGCUGUCAGGAGAUCAGACUCCCCAUUUGCCACACACAGAAGCGGAUUGAGAUAGGCUAACCUUGAAGUUAUGCUCCCUGAUGAAUAAGGCAUUGGGAUAGUUAAAUCUUUCCCAGUGUCUGAAACCUCAGCAGAGGGUGAGUCAUUGCCUGGCAGGCAUGCUGCAGCAAUAUAACCAAGAUAAGCCAGUUGUUGAGGCAUGGAAUUAUGGAGAUGCCUUCCUUCCUAAGGGCUGCUUCUGUCACCUUUGCAAAGGAAUGGGGAACUGAAGCCAGAAUGAAAGAAAUUACUUGAACUAAAAGUGAAUGCACAACUCACUAUUAAUCUGAGAAACUUCUGAUGAGAGGGUGCUUGAAACCUGACUGUUCUUGGUCCUGGUAUGACUUGGUUUUGACUUGGGGAUUUAUGAAACAGCUAUUAGUGGAACUUCAACUGGCUGGGUCUGUACUUGUGGCCUGUGGAUUUUGGCUUAUGGCAAUGUGAAGCCAAAGUGGGGAGAGCUUUUUGUCUCCAUAACGUCUUUAAGAGUGGAAUACAGGAUACUACCAAAUACUCUGUACCUUCAAGGAAAGGUCUGAAAGCCUCCACUAGUCUCCUUUUCAGAGAUGAAUCCAUAAGCCUUUGCAUAUCACAAUGGAGGAACGCAAGACACUGGCUCCUAGGCAGAUGAAAUCCUCAGUCAUGUCAUUAAGAGUGUUUAUGGCUUAAAAAAAGAAUAGUCUCUUGUAGUCUGGUUUCAAAAGAAUUGUGCACACUGUUUUGUUGGCCUGGGUUUUGGAGAACACCAGAAAUAAAGUGCAUAGAUCACUACUAGGGCUCUCUAAUUUUAAGGUGUGCUUAUGUGCCACUCUGCCCUGAAUCCAGAGGGAUCUUCGGGGAAAUAAGGAAGAACUUGCUUUCCUCUGUACUGCACACUGGAGUGGGGGAACCUAAGCUUUCAUAGCACAGGAUCGUUGGUAUCUGGACUCCACAAUUAAAGCCGAACAGCAAGCCAGUAUACAUCUGCUUUCUGCCAUUUAUCAGCCUAACUUGAGAGAAACAUCAAGGGCACAAUAGGGGAGGAGAGGGAGGGAGAAAAAGAGAACAAGAGCAAGACUACCAUCUAGGGGAAAGGGUCAAUUUCAGUAAGGCCUUGGCUACACUUGCAAGUUACAGCGCUGUAAAGCCUCCCCCAGCGCUGUAACUCACUCCCCGUCCACACUGGCAGGGCACUUGCAGCGCUGUAUCUCCCUGGAUACAC